rnacentral:rRNA from 1 species
AGUAGGGAAUCUUCGGCAAUGGACGCAAGUCUGACCGAGCAACGCCGCGUGAGUGAAGAAGGUUUUCGGAUCGUAAAACUCUGUUGUUAGAGAAGAACAAGGAUGAGAGUAAAAUGUUCAUCCCUUGACGGUAUCUAACCAGAAAGCCACGGCUAACUACGUGCCAGCAGCCGCGGUAAUACGUAGGUGGCAAGCGUUGUCCGGAUUUAUUGGGCGUAAAGCGAGCGCAGGCGGUUUCUUAAGUCUGAUGUGAAAGCCCCCGGCUCAACCGGGGAGGGUCAUUGGAAACUGGGAAACUUGAGUGCAGAAGAGGAGAGUGGAAUUCCAUGUGUAGCGGUGAAAUGCGUAGAUAUAUGGAGGAACACCAGUGGCGAAGGCGGCUCUCUGGUCUGUAACCGACGCUGAGGCUCGAAAGCGUGGGGAGCAAACAGGAUUAGAUACCCUGGUAGUCCACGCCGUAAACGAUGAGUGCUAAGUGUUGGAGGGUUUCCGCCCUUCAGUG